rnacentral:rRNA from 1 species
GAUGAACGCUGGCGGCGUGCUUAACACAUGCAAGUCGAACGAGAAGUGAAGACGGAAACCUUCGGGCGGAAGGCUUUAUUUCGAGUGGCGGACGGGUGAGUAACGCGUGGGUAACCUGCCUCAUACAGGGGGAUAACAGUUGGAAACGACUGUUAAUACCGCAUAAGACCACAGCACCGCAUGGUGCGGGGGUAAAAACUCCGGUGGUAUGAGAUGGACCCGCGUUCGAUUGGACAGUUGGCGGGGUAACGGCCCACCAAAGCGACGAUCGAUAGCCGGUCAGAGAGGAUGGCCCGCCACAUCGGGACUAGGACGCAGUCCGGACUCCUGCAGGAUGCAGCAGUGGGGAAUACUGCACUAUGGGGGGAGUCCUGAUGCAGCUACGCCGCGUGAGUGAUGAAGUAUUGCGGUAUGUGAAGCUCUAUCAGCAGGCACGAUUAUGACGGUACCUGAGUAAGAAGCCCCGGCUAACUACGUG